rnacentral:rRNA from 1 species
GACGAACGCUGGCGGCGUGCUUAACACAUGCAAGUCGAACGGAAAGGCCCUGCUUUUGUGGGGUGCUCGAGUGGCGAACGGGUGAGUAACACGUGAGUAACCUGCCCUUGACUUUGGGAUAACUUCAGGAAACUGGGGCUAAUACCGGAUAGGAGCUCCUGCUGCAUGGUGGGGGUUGGAAAGUUUCGGCGGUUGGGGAUGGACUCGCGGCUUAUCAGCUUGUUGGUGGGGUAGUGGCUUACCAAGGCUUUGACGGGUAGCCGGCCUGAGAGGGUGACCGGCCACAUUGGGACUGAGAUACGGCCCAGACUCCUACGGGAGGCAGCAGUGGGGAAUAUUGCACAAUGGGCGGAAGCCUGAUGCAGCAACGCCGCGUGCGGGAUGACGGCCUUCGGGUUGUAAACCGCUUUCGCCUGUGACGAAGCGUGAGUGACGGUAAUGGGUAAAGAAGCACCGGCUAACUACGUGCCAGCAGCCGCGGUGAUACGUAGGGUGCGAGCGUUGUCCGGAUUUAUUGGGCGUAAAGGGCUCGUAGGUGGUUGAUCGCGUCGGAAGUGUAAUCUUGGGGCUUAACCCUGAGCGUGCUUUCGAUACGGGUUGACUUGAGGAAGGUAGGGGAGAAUGGAAUUCCUGGUGGAGCGGUGGAAUGCGCAGAUAUCAGGAGGAACACCAGUGGCGAAGGCGGUUCUCUGGGCCUUUCCUGACGCUGAGGAGCGAAAGCGUGGGGAGCGAACAGGCUUAGAUACCCUGGUAGUCCACGCUGUAAACGGUGGGUACUAGGUGUGGGGUCCAUUCCACGGGUUCCGUGCCGUAGCUAACGCUUUAAGUACCCCGCCUGGGGAGUACGGCCGCAAGGCUAAAACUCAAAGGAAUUGACGGGGCCCCGCACAAGCGGCGGAGCAUGCGGAUUAAUUCGAUGCAACGCGUAGAACCUUACCUGGGUUUGACAUGGAUCGGGAGUGCUCAGAGAUGGGUGUGCCUCUUUUGGGGUCGGUUCACAGGUGGUGCAUGGCUGUCGUCAGCUCGUGUCGUGAGAUGUUGGGUUAAGUCCCGCAACGAGCGCAACCCUUGUUCACUGUUGCCAGCACGUUAUGGUGGGGACUCAGUGGAGACCGCCGGGGUCAACUCGGAGGAAGGUGGGGAUGACGUCAAGUCAUCAUGCCCCUUAUGUCCAGGGCUUCACGCAUGCUACAAUGGCUGGUACAAAGAGUGGCGAGCCUGUGAGGGUGAGCGAAUCUCGGACAGUCCGGUCUCAGUUCGGAUUGCGGCCUGCAACUCGACCUCUUGAAGUCGGAGCUCCCCGGUAUCGCAGAUUACCACCGCUGCGGUGGAUUACGUUCCCCGGGGGCU